CCCAGUCUUUUGUUCAAGAUAUAAGCAUCAAGUUUUUAUGUAUAUGUUUUUCUAUUAUAUGCUGAAAGCUACAUCAUAAAAUUGUGAUUUUGUUAGCUUCAUCCCAUGCAGGAAUUUUAUAUACACAAUUAUGCAGUAUUUUAACAGAUAUCAUUUUUAUUUUUGUGAUUUCCCUCUCAGCAAACAAAAAUUUUUCACGUUUGGUUGCAGGAACAGUGGAACACCUCCAAUUGAAUUUAAUGAAACCGAAGAAUCCGAUACUGCUCUAUCGCAGUUGCAGCAGUCUUCAGCACAUUAUAAAUCUGUCGUUUCAUUCUGAUGAAGGUGUGAAGCAUCAUCGUAAAUUGUAUUAUGAGUUCACAAUCAUUUACGGCAUGCGUACUUGGAAUUCUGGUUUUUCGCGUUGUGAACUAUUAGAUAAUUUCGGUACAGCAACUUAUUGAAAACUUGAGCUAUAUUGCUAUAAUGGCAGUUUGCAAUUGUAGCUUCCUGCUCCAUGAUGAUGCCCAGGUUGUGUGUUCAUUGAAUAUGGAGAAAUCUUUGUUAAAUGUUUGCUUCUUUUAAAUUUGUCUUGAUGUUAUUAAACCAGUGCUUAGUGUUAGAAACAGCCUCGUGCAACUGAUCUUUCUUCUGUUAGGGAAGAAUCUUGAGUGCUUAAAUUGGAGAGCUUUUGAAUGAUCUUAAGUCCUAUUCUGUUUCCCUUUAUGACAUUUUAACAUUCAAAUAAAUGGAAG
rnacentral:lncRNA from 1 species